UUAGGGGGAUAAGAUUUAGGAUCGAGGAAUGUGGAGACCACUGAGCGAAAGGUGUGGAGAAAAAAAACAGCCACACAAAACAUCUUUACCACAGAACAUUUUAAUAAAUUCAGACGUGGACUAGAAAAACUGACAAAAGGCAUUUUUUGUAUUAAAUAAAUUAGCUUAACUAAUAACAGGUAGUUUCGUUCCACUGCAGGACUUCUAUGUUACACUGACAUCGCCAUGGACUCUCUCUCUAACGACUGACAGAUGUCAAUCAGGCAGACGCUCAACCGGAUCAGCAGAAGUAAGAUCAUAAUAUCUUUCUCAGGUCAAUAAGUUCAUCAGCGAACUAGUGUUUAACAUUCAGAUAGGACUCUCGACAUGGAGUUGAGAAUGUGAUUGAACACCAAAGCCUUAAAAAAAAAAAGAGUCUUUCAGUGUGAACUGAGGAAUACAGAACAAGUUAUUUCAAGGCAUUUCUGAACGUUUAUAAGCUGCCUCAAUGGUCCUGGCUUUAGGUAGUAUGACACUACUUGUCCAACCGCUCAUUUGAAAAAGCAUUUUAGGGCCCCGAUUCAAAUCAGCCGUGUCAGGAGGUUCUGCGUUAGAGCUAUCUAAUCCACAAGCGGUUCCAGGUCUAAUCCACAAGCGGUUCCAGGUCUAAUCCACAAGCGGUUCCAGGUCAAAUCCACAAGCGGUUCCAGGUCUAAUCCACAAGCGGUUCCAGGUCAAAUCCACAAGCGGUUCCAGGUAUACCGGACAUUGCCAGUGGCUGCAUGAAGUCACAUUAAGAGAAAUAUCAUGCAGCCUUGUUUACAAUUUCGGAUGACAACCGGCAUUUUCUUUCGGAUGUCGAGAAAGGAAUCAGGAAAAAAUAUAUAAUUUCCUGGUGUGAUACAAGGGACGAUAUUUUGGCGUUUCGUAAUAUUUAAUCAUUCCAGAAUGUUCCCCUCUAUCUGGACUCCUAGAUGAGGCUUCAUUCGUCUUCAUGGAAACAAGUGUUAGAAUCGGUUCGAUAGAAAACAAAACAGUCAGAAGAAGAAGAGAAGUCUCCAGGUCUUUGGUUCUGUUCUGUUCAGGCAUUUUGAUUGGUCCACAGCCAGGGCAGGGGUUAGAGGUGAGGGGUGCAGUACAGAAUCCAUAUCAGUCCUGGGGGGGGG
rnacentral:lncRNA from 1 species